UACAUUAUAGGCAAAUCUACUUUUAAAAAUUAAAAGUGGGGGGCUUAAUUUGACUCCGAAGUACUUUAGCAUAACUUUAAACAAAUAAGGCUUUGCCUCUUAAAAAACCAUCUAAACUCCCAAACCACAAGUUAAACCAUGAGAACCUCCUUUAAUUUGAAAAAACUUCCUCCCAAGCAACAAAGAAGGCAAACACACAGGAGAUAAAAGUUUCAUGUAUGUAUAG
rnacentral:misc_RNA from 1 species